UGGGGAAUAUUGCGCAAUGGGGGAAACCCUGACGCAGCCACGCCGCGUGUGUGAUGAAGGCCUUCGGGUCGUAAAGCACUGUCGGGAGGGAAGAAGUUCUGACGGUACCUCCCAAGAAAGCACCGGCUAACCCUGUGCCAGCAGCCGCGGUAAUACAGGGGGUGCAAGCGUUGCUCGGAAUUACUGGGCGUAAAGCGUGCGCAGGCGGUUCAGUAAGUCGGAGGUGAAAGCCCGAGGCUCAACCUCGGAAAUGCCUUCGAAACUACUGAUCUUGAGUACGGGAGAGGGUCGCGGAAUUCUUGGUGUAGAGGUGAAAUUCGUAGAUAUCAGGAAGAACACCAGUGGCGAAAGCGGCGACCUGGUCCGAGACUGACGCUCAUGCACGAAAGCGUGGGGAGCA
rnacentral:rRNA from 1 species